ensembl:lncRNA
CUUUGCUGGUGACGUGAGGACACACCCUCUGUGAUGAAGAACAACAAGCUCUAACAAGCUGCGUCACCUGGAAGCUGAAGUGAAGCACGGAGCUCCUUUUCUACACGGACCUGCUGAGGACAGAAGAGAGCUGCUCACUGAGGAACUUCAUGUCUACAAGAUCAGAGAGAGCUUUCCCAUGUUGCCAUGGUAACCAGUGUGUCACCUUACUGGUCUGUUUCACUGACUUCUGGACUCUGAAGGACAUCAAGAGGAGAAACAGCACAGCGCCAUCUGCUGGAAGACGAGUGAUCAUGUUCACCUGGUUGGUGUGAAGGUCUGAAGGUGUGGACUCUGCUAUGAAUCAGGGUGAGGACCCAGAGGACGGAGUCCGUCCCUCUGAAGCUCCUCUGUGUGGGGAACAUGACAGCCUGACCAAAG